AUGAGAGAAACAUGAAAGCUAUAUCUUAGAUAUGCAAGAUGCCCAUCUCCUAUGCUUUGGUUGUUCUGAGGCAGUUACUUGCUGUGCUUUAUUAGGAUAUACUGAAAGAGCUGUCUCCAAUUCUUAAUAUAAUAAUCCUGCUAAGAUUUUUCCAACCUUGUGUUCCCAUUCCUCUAUCUAAUCACUUUCUAGGUUUAAAUGCAGUAGUGUAACUGAUCAGAUAUAAGCAACUGCUGGAAA